UACUCCUACGGGAGGCAGCAGUAAGGGAUAUUGCGCCAAUGGGGGAAACCCUGAUCCAGCCAUGCCGCGUGCAGGAUGAAGGCCUUCGGGUUGUAAACUGCUUUUGUACGGAACGAAAAGGUCUUUUCUAAUAAAGAAGGCUGAUGACGGUACCGUAAGAAUAAGCACCGGCUAACUACGUGCCAGCAGCCGCGGUAAUA
rnacentral:rRNA from 1 species